UGCAAAAAUAUUAGUGAUGGAAGCCAUUUUGUGUUCAUAUUUUAUUUAUACUUACAGAUAUGUAUCUAUACGGACAUAUGCAUAUAGUUAUUUAUUUUUUUGUUUUCCUGAGACAGGCUCGCAACAAAAUUUUCAAGUGCAGAGGGAGGAAGUCACGUUUCUAACGCUGACAGAGCCACCGGAUUAAAAGUGGAUCGUGCCUACACCGUGAUCUCCCCUCUACGAGGUUCCAGGGGAAAAAGGUGUGUGGGUGUGAUCGCUGUAAAUGGAUUGCCAGUCUCUUAACAGUCCAUCAUUCUUAAAUGAUAGAAGUGUAGCAGCACCCUCUGAGAAAAAUCUUUCCUGUGGAUUUGACUUUGUCCAUGCCACGACAAAUUGCGUGCAAAGUUGGAACAAUUCUGAGGUGUAAGACACCUCCAUGACUGUCCUUGGAAUACUGAGGAGCUGACAUUCCUAUUUGGAAGAUGAGGGGAGCAUGGCCCCUGCCCUCUUAAUUGAUGAUUUACCGUGCUCUCCCUAGGGCCACAACCGAUGAUCGUGAGACCCCUCGGGGCUGCCAUGAAUAUCCCGGUUCUACUCCCUCCUGAACUCUAAUAUCAAGAUUAUGAUACAUUUUGGUUGCUGAGCUGGACCUUGUGGACGAGAAACACUGGCUUCCCAAAUCCGAGAUUUAGUUUCUAAAACUUUAAGCCACGGAGGCUCGGAAGAGGUUCCAGAACGUGUGUCCGAAGGCCGCGUGGGACGUUGAAGUGGAGAAAGAGAUUGUUUGAGAUUUUCAAGUAACCGGAUAAUCUGGACGGGAGGACAUUGCAGAUUGCAUUCUUACCCAAAUACUCUUCGUGAUUGUUGCCUGCUUUGCGGCUUUGGGUUAUAACCCGGCCUUUUCAUUGACGGACAACUGAGAUCAAAAAUCUUAAAUUUGGUAUUUCGAGGUUUGUAUUUCCAGAUAUCCCCAAACUCUUCCUUUUCUGGUGGCCCCUCCCCAGCGUGUUCUGACGUGGUCUAUUUCAAACAAAAGAAAAUGACAUCCCUCUUUCAACUAGUAAACGUUGGCUUCUCCAAACCGACCAGGGGCAAACUGGAAGUUUUGCCAUUAGGUUCACACAAACUGAACUGCGUUCAACAUUCCCAAACAUUCUCCUCUGAACUUCACAAAUGUGACGAUACUGAGUUUAGAGUUUCCUGUGGCUUGUUGACAAAUAAAGGUACCUCGGUAGAAACCAAGCUCUGUGCAUUUUUGGGAAACGAGAACGUGGAACGAUCCCAUAUUAAAACAUUACAAAAGGACUGUAAAGGGAAAUUUAAAAGGGGGAAAACUUGAUUAUAUAAUGCAAUCCAGCAGUAAUCAAUUUUACCUUCAAUAUCUUGCUUUUGUUUUCAAAAUGCUAAAUAAACAAUACAUAAUGCAUCCCUCAUCAGCCAAACCAUGGAGGCUCUGUGCUCAAAUAACAGGAAACAUAUUCAAUUUUCCUAACAGAAGACAGUUCAUUAAGCUGUGCCACAUCAAAUAAAACUUUAAUUUCUCCAGCAUCAGAGUCGCAAUGAAAGCAAUUGAAGAAGAUGAGCCAUAUGGUACUUCUAUCAGCAAACACAUAUUGCUCAUUCCCCCAAAGUUUUCUAAUUCUGCUCCCCAGACCUGUGUAAUAUAGAUAAUGUGCUCCGAGAGCAGCAACCAUGAGCUAUCUAGUGUACACUUCUAAUACUGUAUUUAAUGGGAAAUAAUGAAUCAUAAAAGCCUGGAGAAGACGGCUUUUGCUAACCUAAAUCUCAGCUGUAAUUUCAUUGUUCUGUGCCUAAGAUGCUGUUCGCCCUUUCCAAACAACAGCAGUUGAACAUAAUUAUGCUGCUUCAAACCUGGGCUUGAAAAAGCAUCCCUAAUAGAACCAAGUUUCUAUUAACUCCU